rnacentral:rRNA from 1 species
GCUAAAUAGCUAGCUUAAACACCUAAAUGACAAAACAACAUUAAAACAUUUAACAAAACUACAACACCUCAAACUAAAACAUUUUACCGCCAAAGUAUGUGAGACAGAAAAGGCACUCUUUUUAAAGCUUUAGCAAAAGUACCGCAAGGGAACGCUGAAAGAGAAAUGAAACAACUCAUUAAAGCACAACAAAGCAGAGACUAAAUCUCGUACCUUUUGCAUCAUGAUUUAGCCAACCAACCUGAGCAAAGAGUACUUUAGUUCAAGACCCCGAAACUAGGUGAGCUACCCCGAGACAGCCUAUAAAUUAGGGGCAACCCGUCUCUGUGGCAAAAGAGUGGGAAGAUCUCUGGGUAGAGGUGAUAGACCUAUCGAACCUGGUUAUAGCUGGUUGCUUAGGAAAUGAAUAAAAGUUCAGCCUCGCACUCCUCAACUUACCGCCCACCGCAAAUAUAAGUCAGAGAAACACGCGAGAGUUAGUCAUAGAGGGUACAGCCCCUAUGAAAUAGGAUACAACCUAAACAGGAGGUUACAGAUUAUACUAAUUAAGAUAAACCGCUCUAGUGGGCCUAAAAGCAGCCACCUAAACAGAAAGCGUUAAAGCUCCGACGGACUAAAAAUCUAUUAUCCAAAUAUCACAUCUAAAACCCCUAACCAUACUAAGCUAUUCCAUGCCCACAUGGAAGAAAUACUGCUAAAAUGAGUAAUAAGAAGCAAAACAUGCUUCUCCUGGCCUACGUGUAUGUUAGAUCGGACCUUCCACUAACAACUACCGAGCCCAACAAAAGAGGGCACCAUGGGCUAACCAAAAAACAAGAAAUCACCAUGAACCCUAAUCGUUAAUCCCACACCGGAAGGCCUUUUAAAGGAAAGACUAAAAGAAAAGGAAGGAACUCGGCAAACACAAGCCUCGCCUGUUUACCAAAAACAUCGCCUCCUGCAACAAACCGUAUAGGAGGUCUUGCCUGCCCAGUGACUAGUUAAACGGCCGCGGUAUCCUGACCGUGCGAAGGUAGCGCAAUCACUUGUCUUUAAAUGAAGACCUGUAUGAAUGGCGGAACGAGGGGCUUAACUGUCUCCUUUUCAAGUCAAUGAAAUUGAUCUGCCCGUGCAGAAGCGGGCAUACACACACAAGACGAGAAGACCCUUUGGAGCUUAAGAUACAAAAUCAACUACAUCAAGGGCACACAAGCCAAACCAAGUAGCACCUGAUAAAUAUCUUCGGUUGGGGCGACCACGGGAGAAAACAAAGCUCCCAUGCGGACUGGGGCAACCCCCUAAAACCAAGAAAGACAUUUCUAAGUCACAGAACAUCUGACCAUAAAGAUCGGGCCACCCGCCGAUCAACGGACCAAGUUACCCUAGGGAUAACAGCGCAAUCCCCUUUCAGAGUCCAUAUCGACAAGGGGGUUUACGACCUCGAUGUUGGAUCAGGACAUCCUAUUGGUGCAGCCGCUAUUAAGGGUUCGUUUGUUCAACGAUUAAAGUCCUACGUGAUCUGAGUUCAGACCGGAGCAAUCCAGGUCAGUUUCUAUCUGUAAUGCUACUUUUUCCUAGUACGAAAGGACCGGAAAAAGGGGGCCCAUAUUACAAAUACGCCCCACCCCUAUUUAAUGCAAACAACUAAAUUAAAUAAAGGGAGAGCAAAACCCAAAAAUCAAGAUAAGAUUAUUAAGA